rnacentral:rRNA from 1 species
UGGGGAAUAUUGGACAAUGGGCGAAAGCCUGAUCCAGCAAUGCCGCGUGAGUGAUGAAGGCCUUAGGGUUGUAAAGCUCUUUUACCCGGGAUGAUAAUGACAGUACCGGGAGAAUAAGCUCCGGCUAACUCCGUGCCAGCAGCCGCGGUAAUACGGAGGGAGCUAGCGUUAUUCGGAAUUACUGGGCGUAAAGCGCACGUAGGCGGCUUUGUAAGUUAGAGGUGAAAGCCUGGAGCUCAACUCCAGAAUUGCCUUUAAGACUGCAUCGCUUGAAUCCAGGAGAGGUGAGUGGAAUUCCGAGUGUAGAGGUGAAAUUCGUAGAUAUUCGGAAGAACACCAGUGGCGAAGGCGGCUCACUGGACUGGUAUUGACGCUGAGGUGCGAAAGCGUGGGGAGCGAAACAGGAUUAGAUACCCUGGUAGUCCACGCCGUAAACGAUCGAUAACUAGCUG